rnacentral:rRNA from 1 species
AGGGAAUCUUCCACAAUGGACGCAAGUCUGAUGGAGCAACGCCGCGUGAGUGAAGAAGGUCUUCGGAUCGUAAAGCUCUGUUGUUGGUGAAGAAGGAUAGAGGCAGUAACUGGUCUUUAUUUGACGGUAAUCAACCAGAAAGUCACGGCUAACUACGUGCCAGCAGCCGCGGUAAUACGUAGGUGGCAAGCGUUGUCCGGAUUUAUUGGGCGUAAAGCGAGCGCAGGCGGAAUGAUAAGUCUGAUGUGAAAGCCCACGGCUCAACCGUGGAACUGCAUCGGAAACUGUCAUUCUUGAGUGCAGAAGAGGAGAGUGGAACUCCAUGUGUAGCGGUGGAAUGCGUAGAUAUAUGGAAGAACACCAGUGGCGAAGGCGGCUCUCUGGUCUGCAACUGACGCUGAGGCUCGAAAGCAUGGGUAGCGAACAGGAUUAGAUACCCUGGUAGUCCAUGCCGUAAACGAUGAGCGCUAGGUGUUGGGGCACU